UACGGGGGGAGCAAGCGUUGUCCGGAAUUAUUGGGCGUAAAGAGCUCGUAGGCGGCCUGUUGCGUCCGCUGUGAAAGCCCGGGGCUUAACCCCGGGUCUGCAGUGGAUACGGGCAGGCUGGAGGCAGGCAGGGGAGAACGGAAUUCCCGGUGUAGCGGUGAAAUGCGCAGAUAUCGGGAGGAACACCAAUGGCGAAGGCAGCUCGCUGGGACGUGACUGACGCUGAGACGCGAAAGCGUGGGGAGCAAACAGG
rnacentral:rRNA from 1 species